UACGUAGGAUCCGAGCGUUGUCCGGAUUUACUGGGUGUAAAGGGCGUGUAGGUGGGGUCUUAAGUCGGUGGUGAAAUCCAGCAGCUCAACUGCUGAAUUGCCAUCGAUACUGAGGCUCUUGAGUGCGGCAGAGGGAGAUGGAAUUCAUGGUGUAGCGGUGAAAUGUGUAGAUAUCAUGAAGAACACCGGUAGCGAAGGCGGUCUCCUGGUCCGCAACUGACACUGAGGCGCGAAAGCGUGGGGAG
rnacentral:rRNA from 1 species